CCCACCUGGAUGCGAACAUUCGAGCUUUCAUUCUUCCCUCAAAAUCUCAGUCUCAGUUAGCAUUUUGUGAUGUCAUGAACAUGUUGACUGUUUGAUAGGCUGUGAUGGAGGACAGUUUCACACAGUCUGUGACAUUCUCCCAUAUUGCCUCUUCUUUUAGUUUCUUCCCUUCUAUUCUAUUAGCUUCCAAAGCCUGGAUGCCCCUGUUGGUUUCUCCUGUGUCAUAGACUCCUCUCUCCAAUGGAGCCAAUGGAGCAGCCCUACCAGAUUGCGCUUCCUUCCAGGUCACCGCCUAGAAGUCUGGUGAGUUGUGCCUUUUUGUGAAGAUGUUGGCUGGAAGAAAACUGCUAAAAUAUUAUUUCAGAGGUGUGGUUAAUUUGUACUCAUCCACUUGUCUUAGAGGCAAUUCAGAUUUCAUGGCCUUGUUCAGCCAGUAUUGGACAUAUGUGUCAUUUCUUCAUUUCUGUGUCAAGGUGACAAAAGAAAACAAAGACAACAGAGGAAGAAAUUAAAGUGAUUCAUGUUUCAAUCAGUCAAAUUUUGAAUGUGAGAAAUCCUACAGGAGUAGAAGCAAUGAGAUAACAUGAGAUGAGUUGGGUGACUUUCCAGAUUAAGGGAAGUUGAAGAGACAUAAUAGCUGAAUUCAAUGUGUGACUUUUAAUUGGAUCUUGAUUUGAAUAAACCAAAUAUAAACGCUAUUUUAAAGCAGUUCACAAAAACUGAAACUUGACUUGGAAUUAGAUGUUACAUAUGAAUUAUUGAUAAUUUUAUGAGGUAUAAUAAUGUUUGUGUGGUUAUGGAGGAGAAUAUCCUUAAUUUUUAUAAAGCCACACUGAA
ensembl:lncRNA